GAUGGCUUACUGUAUGACCUAAAUAUCUGAUGAGGAAAUUCAGCAUUAUUGUGUCAGAUGAUGACAUAAUGGUGUGCACUUUUCUUCUAGUAAGACGUUGCGAUCCAUUAGAAAAUAAAAAAAAAUUUGUAUAUAGGCCCAAAUAGGAGUUUAUGCAUUAAGCGAGUAACAUGACUUUGUUGUUAUGUGAAUGCGUGUAAACUAUUUGGUGUUCUUACAAAUGUCUGAUGGUAUUUUGAUUGAAUGUCGCAUACAAUUUUUUUAAAAAUUUAAAUCCCUUGGUAAAAAUAAUGGCUACCUUAACCACAACGUUUUAAAUUUUAGAAACCCUCCGGACCCCUCUUGGAACCCGGACCAAAAAAUCCAACUUGGAUGCCAGUCCAUGGGAUUAAUAAAACCUAUAGGCCAAAUGAAAUUAACUUGGUAUAAUGGGAUUACCAAUGGGGGAAGUAAUUAAACUAUUUUUCCAUCCCCGGGUAACCUAAUGGAAGUACUGGAAUUUCCGUUGCCUGGACCACCAAAAUAUACCCGUAACAUACCAGCUGUGACCCGAAAGAAUGUGAACUAAGGCUGAUCAAGUGAAGUCAGGGAAACCCUGAUGGAAAACGUACAAUCUGACGUGCAAAUCAUUGUCGAAGUGGGAUAGGGCCAAAGACAAUCGAACAUCUAGUACUGUUUCCUUUCCGAA
rnacentral:rRNA from 1 species